GAAAAAAGAAAUGUCCAAAAAAAAGGCAAAGAAGGAAGGAGGAGGAGGGUGGAUUUGGGGGCUAUUGGUUGAUACUCUUUGUGGUUAUUGUUUUUGGACUUUUGCUUUAUCACUUUUGGAUGCGAUCUUCUUCUUUCCUCU
rnacentral:ribozyme from 13 species